UUGUAUCACCUCAUCAAGAAAGCAGUUGCCAUCAGGAAGCAUUUGGAGAGGAACAGGAAGGAUAAAGAUUCCAAAUUCAGGCUCAUUCUUGUGGAGAGCAGGAUUCACAGGCUUGCUCGCUACUACAAGAAGACCAAGAAGCUGCCACCUGUCUGGAAAUAGUAAGUCCAAAUAUUUUUUUUAUACAUCUUUCAUUGUAGUUGACUUCCACCUGUUUAUGAGUUUAAUUGAAUCCAUCAUGCAUUUUUGCCCUAUUUUUGACAUCCACCUUUUUAUGAGUCUAGCAAACAGUCACGUUGUCAUGAAACAGGGUUUGCUAUUGAUAGCAUUUGAUAACAACAUAUAUUCGUUUAUUUGUGUAUUAUAGCAUCCCACAUUCAUUUCUUUUUUCUAUACAGAAUUUAACUUAUAUAGGAUUGUACUUUGAUAUUUUCUUCUUAGACAUUAUAUUUGAAUCCAUACCCCUAAUUAUAGCAUUAGACUAGUAGGAAGAAAUAAAAGGAGAAUGCCAUAAUAAACAAAUGGGUGAAAGUAUGUUGCUAUUUCUUCCAUUGAUAAUCAGAUAUGAUUUAUGUACUAACACAACAUUAUUUGUUUAUGCAGCGAGUCCACCACAGCCAGCACUCUUGUGGCCUAGAGAAGAGAAGUGAAGGUUUAUUUUAUUUUUGUAAAAGUUGGAAGAAUGGAGUUUCUUAUUUCAAGUGGGUGUUUUCUAUUUUG
rnacentral:lncRNA from 1 species